AUUGAACGCUGGCGGUAUGCUCAACACAUGCAAGUCGAACGAUGAGAAAGAGCUUGCUCUUUCGAUUAGUGGCGGACGGGUGCGUAACGCGUAGGAAUCUACCUAUUAGUGGGGGACAACUUAGGGAAACUUAAGCUAAUACCGCAUACGCCCUACGAGGGAAAGAAGGGGAUCGCAAGACCUUUUGCUAAUAGAUUAGCCUGCGUAGGAUUAGCUAGUUGGUGGGGUAAAAGCUCACCAAGGCGACGAUCCUUAACUGGUUUGAGAGAAUGAUCAGUCACACUGGAACUGAGACACGGUCCAGACUCCUACGGGAGGCAGCAGUGGGGAAUAUUGGACAAUGGGCGAAAGCCUGAUCCAGCAAUACCGCGUGUGUGAAGAAGGCCUUAGGGUUGUAAAGCACCUUCAAUUGGAAGGAAAACCUCAAAGCUAAUACCUUCGAGUUUGACAUUACCUUUAGAAGAAGCACCGGCUAACUCCGUGCCAGCCGCCGCAGUAACAC
rnacentral:rRNA from 1 species